rnacentral:rRNA from 1 species
AUGUCCAUUGAUCCGCCGAUGGAGGCGUUCUUCUGCCUGGCGCGGUGCCGGUUCAGUCGGCUUAUGGUGGUGAUGCAGCUGGUGAUGGGCGUGUUCGUCAUCUGCAUCAGCAUGGCCAACCUCCACCGCUUCUACACCACCGACUCCUUCCUCCCGGGCCUCGACGACUCCGCCAACUGCGCCAGGCUCCACACCGUCGCCGCCGCCGACGGGUACGCCGGCUUCGACAUCCGCGCGCUGGCCGACCGCGUCGACGACGUGCUCGUCCAGCUCGCCGAGCUCCAGGACAAGCUGGAGGCCACGGCGCUCAAGAUCGGCAAGAAGACCAAGAAGAAGGGCAAGGCGCACGGCAAGCAGGAGAACAUGACCUUGCCGGAGUUCAGGCGGUUCCUCGAGGACGAGGUCAUCCACCCGCUCUACGGCGCGCACAUCUCCCUGCGCCUGAUCCGCAUCCCCCGCCCCGACCCCGACGGCGGCGGCGGCGACGACGACGCCCCGGUCGUCGACCCGCUCGUCAACUUCUUCAUGGCGGAGGAAACGCGCAAGUACGUGACCACCAAGGGCAACCGCGAGGGCCGGCCCAACGUGUACGGCACCAACCGGACGUACGGCAGCAUCGGGCACGCCUGCGUGCUGAUGCGGCGGGAGCUGGACGAGUACAUGAGCUACGACGUCGGCUCCUACUGCCCGGACGACUGGGACCUGGGCCAGCGCCUCAUGCUCGGCGGCUGCGACCCGCUGCCGCGCCGCCGCUGCCUCGCCCGGGCCUCCAAGCUGUUCCAGCGCCCGCUGCCCAUCAACGAGUCGCUGUGGAGGCUCCCCGACGACGGCAACGUGCGGUGGAGCCGCUACCACUGCCGCGGCUACCGGUGCCUGUCCGCCAGGAACCCGCGGCCAGGGUACAGCCGGUGCGUGGGGUGCUUCGACAUGGACCGGGAGAAGCGGCGGUGGGUCAACGACACCAGCCGCAACGCGUCCCUGGCCGACUUCCGCAUCGACGAGGUGCUGGCGGUGAAGCCCGGCGAGGUGCGGAUCGGGGUGGACGUGAGCGUGGGCACGGGCAGCUUCGCGGCGCGCAUGCGGGAGCGCGGCGUGACCAUCGUGUCGGCGGCGCUCAACCUGGGCGCGCCGUUCGCGGAGACGGUGGCGCUGCGGGGGCUGGUGCCGCUCUACGCCACCAUGAGCCAGCGGCUGCCCUUCUUCGACAACACCAUGGACAUGGUGCACACGGCGGGCUUCUUCGAGGGGUGGGUGGACCUGCAGCUGCUGGACUUCGUGCUCUUCGACUGGGACCGCGUGCUCCGCCCCGGCGGCCUGCUCUGGGUCGACAGGUUCGCCUGCGCGCGCAGGGACCUCGACGACUACAUGUACAUGUUCCUGCAGUUCAGGUACAAGAAGCACCGCUGGGUCGUCUCCUUCAAGUCCAAGGACGAGGUCUAUCUCUCCGCUCUCCUCGAGAAGCCGCCCAGGUCAUGA